rnacentral:rRNA from 1 species
UACGUAGGCAGCGAGCGUUGUUCGGAGUUACUGGGCGUAAAGCGUUCGUAGGCGGCUUUGUAAGUUUGGUGUGAAAUCUCCCGGCUCAACUGGGAGGGUGCGCCGAAAACUGCAAGGCUGGAGUGUGGGAGAGGUAGGCGGAAUUCCUGGUGUAGCGGUGAAAUGCGUAGAUAUCAGGAGGAACACCUGUGGCAAAGGCGACUACCUGGCCUGUUCUUGACGCUGAGGCGCGAAAGCUAGGGGAGCAAACGGG